rnacentral:rRNA from 1 species
GAGAUGUGGGUGAGAAUCCCACAGGCCGUAAACCCAAGUUUUCCAGGGGAAGGUUCGUCCGCCCUGGGUUAGUCAGGACCUAAGCCGAGGCCGAAAGGCGUAGGUGAUGGACAACAGGUUGAUAUUCCUGUACCACCAAUAACCGUUUGAGAAAUGGGAUGACACAGUAGGAUAAGCUAACCGCACUGUUGGUUAUGUGCGGGCAAGUACUGAGGCAGUUCUGAUAGGCAAAUCCGUCGGAAUAAUGCUGGGGUACGAUGCGGAGCGAAAUUUAGUAGCGAAGUAGCUGAUUUCACACUGUCGAGAAAAGUCUCUAUCGAGGUUAAAGGUGCCUGUACCGCAAACCGACACAGGUGGGUGAGGAGAGUAUCCUAAGGCCAGCGAGAGAACUGUUGUUAAGGAACUCGGCAAAAUGACCCCGUAUCUUAGGGAGAAGGGGUGCCUUCGAAAGAAGGCCGCAGAGAAUAGGCCCAAGCGACUGUUUACCAAAAACAUAGGUCUCUGCUAAGUCGCAAGACGAUGUAUAGGAGCUGACGCCUGCCCGGUGCUGGAAGGUUAAGGGGAUCUGUUAGAGCAAUCGAAGCAGUGAACUUAAGCCCCAGUAAACGGCGGCCGUAACCAUAACGGUCCUAAGGUAGCGAAAUUCCUUGUCGGGUAAGUUCCGACCCGCACGAAAGGCGUAACGAUUUGGGCACUGUCUCAACAACAGACUCGGUGAAAUUGUAAUACCGGUGAAGAUGCCGGUUACCUGCGACAGGACGGAAAGACCCCAUGGAGCUUUACUGUAGCUUGACAUUGAGUCUCGGUGCUACAUGUACAGGAUAGGUGGGAGACUAUGAAGCAUGGACGUCAGUCUGUGUGGAGUCAUCCUUGGGAUACCACCCUUGUAGUACUGGGAUUCUAACCAGAGGCCAUGAAUCUGGUCUUGGGACACUGUCAGGUGGACAGUUUGACUGGGGCGGUCGCCUCCCAAAAAGUAACGGAGGCGCUCAAAGGUUCUCUCAGUACGGUCGGGAAUCGUACGAAGAGUGUAAAGGCAAAAGAGAGCUUGAUUGCAAGACAUACAGGUCGAGCAAGGACGAAAGUCGGACUUAGUGAUCCGGUGGUUCCGCAUGGAAGGGCCAUCGUUCAACGGAUAAAAGCUACCCUGGGGAUAACAGGCUGAUCCCCCCCAAGAGUCCACAUCGACGGGGAGGUUUGGCACCUCGAUGUCGGCUCAUCACAUCCUGGGGCUGUAGU